GACGAACGCUGGCGGCGUGCCUAAUACAUGCAAGUCGAACGCUUUUUCUUUCACCGGAGCUUGCUCCACCGAAAGAAAAAGAGUGGCGAACGGGUGAGUAACACGUGGGUAACCUGCCCAUCAGAAGGGGAUAGCACUUGGAAAUCAGGUGCUAAUACCGUAUAACACUAUUUUCCGCAUGGAAGAAAGUUGAAAGGCGCUUUUGCGUCACUGAUGGAUGGACCCGCGGUGCAUUAGCUAGUUGGUGAGGUAACGGCUCACCAAGGCAACGAUGCAUAGCCGACCUGAGAGGGUGAUCGGCCACACUGGGACUGAGGCACGGCCCAGACUCCUACGGGAGGCAGCAGUAGGGAAUCUUCGGCAAUGGACGAAAGUCUGACCGAGCAACGCCGCGUGAGUGAAGAAGGUUUUCGGAUCGUAAAACUCUGUUGUUAGAGAAGGACAAGGAUG
rnacentral:rRNA from 1 species